GGACAGGUAUCGAAGUGGUUAUAACGGCCCUGACUCGAAAUCAGGUGUACCAGAAAUGGUACCGUGGGUUCGAAUCCCACCCUGUCCGCCA
rnacentral:tRNA from 1 species